AUUGAACGCUGGCGGCAUGCUUUACACAUGCAAGUCGAACGGCAGCACGGGGGCAGCCCUGGUGGCGAGUGGCGAACGGGUGAGUAAUACAUCGGAACGUGCCCGGUCGUGGGGGAUAACGUAGCGAAAGUUACGCUAAUACCGCAUACGAUCUGAGGAUGAAAGCGGGGGACCUUCGGGCCUCGCGCGAUCGGAGCGGCCGAUGUCAGAUUAGGUAGUUGGUGGGGUAAAGGCCUACCAAGCCGACGAUCUGUAGCUGGUCUGAGAGGACGACCAGCCACACUGGGACUGAGACACGGCCCAGACUCCUACGGGAGGCAGCAGUGGGGAAUUUUGGACAAUGGGCGCAAGCCUGAUCCAGCCAUGCCGCGUGCAGGACGAAGGCCUUCGGGUUGUAAACUGCUUUUGUACGGAACGAAAAGGCUCUGGCUAAUACCUGGGGCUCAUGACGGUACCGUAAGAAUAAGCACCGGCUAACUACGUG
rnacentral:rRNA from 1 species